rnacentral:rRNA from 1 species
CCUACGGGUGGCAGCAGUGAGGAAUAUUGGUCAAUGGCCGAGAGGCUGAACCAGCCAAGUCGCGUGAGGGAAGACGGCCCUACGGGUUGUAAACCUCUUUUGUCGGGGAGCAAAGCGAGUCACGUGUGACUCAUUGAGAGUACCCGAAGAAAAAGCAUCGGCAAACUCCGUGCCAGCACCCGCGGUAAUACGGAGGAGGCGAGCGUUAUCCGGAUUUAUGGGGUUUAAAGGGUGCGCAGGCGGAGGUGCAAGUCAGCGGGAAAAUUGCGGGGCUCAACCCCGUACUGCCGUUGAAACUGCAUCCCUUGAGUGCGCGAGAGGUAUGCGGAAUGCGUGGUGUAGCGGUGAAAUGCAUAGAUAUCACGCAGAACUCCGAUUGCGAAGGCAGCAUACCGGCGCGCAACUGACGCUCAUGCACGAAAGCGUGGGUAUCGAACAGGAUUAGAUACCCCAGUAGUC